AUACGAAUGGUGCUAGCGUUGUUCGGAAUCACUGGGCAUAAAGGGCACGUAGGCGGUUUGGUCAGUCAGCUGUGAAAUCCCCCGGCUCAACCGAGGAACUGCAGCUGAUACUGCCGAACUAGAGUGCGCGAGGGGAGAGCGGAAUUCCUGGUGGAGCGGUGAUAUGCGUAGAUAUCAGGAGGAACGCCGGAGGCGAAAGCGGCUCUCUGGUGCGCACCUGACGCUGAGGUGCGAAAGCUAGGGGAGCGAACAGGAUUAGAUACCCCAGUAGUCC
rnacentral:rRNA from 1 species